AGAGAGCAGCGCUCUGCGGAACUGGGACUCUACCUUGGAGAGGGCGGGGCUGACAGUGGAGAGGUACCUUAUUUCACUGGUGAGGACACCAAAGCACCGAGAGACCAUCAGAUGUUCUCAAGACCAUAUAGCUGGCACAGGAUUCUAUCUACUCAUCACUAUGGCAUUUUAGGGCAAAGCUGUGAGACUUUGAACAGGUUACUGGACCUCUCUGAGCCCCUGGUUUCUCAUCUAUUAAAAAGGUAAUAAAGAUGCUGCUACUUGGCAAGGACUAAGCAGGCAGAAGGCCUCAGAAGAUGGAAGAAAGUCUGUUCCUGGCAGAGAAAACUAUGUUCAAAGGCUCUGCUCCUGAAAGAAUGGGGAGCUUCAGGGUUCUCUGGCCCCACAUCCUUCCGGCUCCGUUGCCUCCAGCGGGAACAACAGUGAUCAUGAUGUAAUGCUACGACCUACUUCACAGACUACUGCACGGCGCAGGAAACCGGCAAGCGAGGCGACUUUCCUGGAUACUCUGGAGCCACACCCACUGGGUCCCUGAGCCCCGCCUGCCCUGGGAAGCCGUCAGGCUCACAGUGGUUAACAAAGUUUCCAAAAAAUUUAAUUUUCACGAAAAGCUUGAAUUUAUUUUACCUUUAUUGUAUUUUUCCAUUACCACUUAGUCCCCUCGGACCCCCCCCUUCCCCCAGCAACCACCACACUGUUGUCCAUGUCCAUGAGUGAAAAUAUUGAAUUUUAUCAUUAGCAACAAUUCUGUCAGUUUACCUUGCAACGACAGACUUAUUUUAUUUAUUUUUGAGAAAAUGUCUGUCAAAUACGCAGUCUGUGUAGUCCCAAUUUAUCUGUCAAUAUUUCUUUCAAGUAAGAUGGUGCUCCAUGAAAAAAGUGGCCAGUUCAGCUCACGGUUCAACCAAUUGCAGAAACGCUUUCCCUGGAGAAGCCAUCGUGCUCUCAGCGGCAGAAGUGCCUGAUGACAAUUCCUGAUUUGUCACACGGAACAUUUAAAAGGUGUGCCAUUGGGAGUCAAUGUACAGUGCAUUAACUAAAUGUUACUGCUUCCCCAGUGGCUGUCUUGAGUGGCACCCACUGUGUUUCGCUGUGAGGGCAGGCAGCGGAGACUCUGAAGGCUCUGGCUCCGUUGGGGCCACCGCUGUGUUUCCUGCUGAGGUGCCUGUGGGUUCACCGCCGAGGCCUUUGCAUCGUCUGUGUGUGAAACGUUGCCCCAGCGAAGAGGGCCCAUGAUGCUUUUUUUUUUUUUAAUUUAAUUUAUUUAUCUUUAGAGGGGAAGGAAAGGAGAGAGAGAGAGAGAGAAAUAUCAAUGUAUGGUUGCUUCUAGUGCAUCCCCUGCUGGGAACUGGCCUGCAACCCAGGCAUGUGCCCUGACUGGGAAUCGAACCUGCAACUGUUUGGUGCAUGGGACAAUGCUCCAACCAACUGAGCCAGGGUGCGUCUUAC